CAGCCGCCGCGGUAACACGGAGGAUCCAAGCGUUAUCCGGAAUCAUUGGGUUUAAAGGGUCCGUAGGCGGUCUUGUAAGUCAGUGGUAAAAGCCCAUCGCUCAACGGUGGAACGGCCAUUGAUACUGCAGGACUUGAAUUAUUGGGAAGUAACUAGAAUAUGUAGUGUAGCGGUGAAAUGCUUAGAGAUUACAUGGAAUACCAAUUGCGAAGGCAGGUUACUACCAAUUGAUUGACGCUGAUGGACGAAAGCGUGGGUAGCGAACAGGAUUAGAUACCCCCGUAGUCCCUGUCUCUUAUAU
rnacentral:rRNA from 1 species